GACGGAGGAUGCAAGUGUUAUCCGGAAUCACUGGGCGUAAAGCGUCUGUAGGUGGUUUAAUAAGUCAACUGUUAAAUCUUGAGGCUCAACCUCAAAAUCGCAGUCGAAACUAUUAGGCUAGAGUAUAGUAGGGGUAAAGGGAAUUUCCAGUGGAGCGGUGAAAUGUGUAGAUAUUGGAAAGACCACCGAUGGCGAAGGCACUCUACUGGGCCAUGACUGACACUGAGAGACGAAAGCUAGGGGAGCAAAUGGG
rnacentral:rRNA from 1 species